rnacentral:rRNA from 1 species
AGCAGUAGCCGCGGGAAUACGUAGGUCCCGAGCGUUGUCCGGAUUUAUUGGGCGUAAAGCGAGCGCAGGCGGUUAGAUAAGUCUGAAGUUAAAGGCAUUGGCUCAACCAAUGUAUGCUUUGGAAACUGUUAGACUUGAGUGCAGAAGGGGAGAGUGGAAUUCCAUGUGUAGCGGUGAAAUGCGUAGAUAUAUGGAGGAACACCGGUGGCGAAAGCGGCUCUCUGGUCUGUCACUGACGCUGAGGCUCGAAAGCGUGGGUAGCGAACAGGAUUAGAUACCCCAGUAGUCCCUGUCUCUUAUACC